rnacentral:rRNA from 1 species
UAAGGAAUAUUGGUCAAUGGACGCAAGUCUGAACCAGCCAUGCCGCGUGAAGGAUGAAGGUCCUCUGGAUUGUAAACUUCUUUUAUCUGGGACGAAAACGGGAUUUUUAUCUCAAUUGACGGUACCAGAGGAAUAAGCACCGGCUAACUCCGUGCCAGCAGCCGCGGUAAUACGGAGGGUGCGAGCGUUAUCCGGAUUUACUGGGUUUAAAGGGUGCGUAGGCGGGCAUGUAAGUCAGUGGUGAAAUACCGGAGCUUAACUUCGGAACUGCCAUUGAUACUAUAUGUCUUGAAUAUUGUGGAGGUGAGCGGAAUAUGGCAUGUAGCGGUGAAAUGCAUAGAUAUGACAUAGAACACCGAUUGCGGAGGCAGCUUGCUACGCAAAUAUUGACGCUGAGGCACGAAAGCGUGGGGAUCAAACA